rnacentral:rRNA from 1 species
UCGAGGAUCUUCGGCAAUGGGCGCAAGCCUGACCGAGCGACGCCGCGUGCGGGAUGAAGGCUUUCGGGUUGUAAACCGCUGUCAGUGGGGAGGAAAUUUAGGUGGGUACUCUCAUCUAAUUGACCUAUCCGCAGAGGAAGCAAGGGCUAAGUUCGUGCCAGCAGCCGCGGUAAGACGAACCUUGCUAACGUUAUUCGGAAUUACUGGGCUUAAAGGGUGCGUAGGCGGCGGAGUAAGUCGGGUGUGAAAUCCCUCAGCUCAACUGAGGAAUUGCGCCCGAAACUACUUUGCUAGAGGAAGAUAGGGGUACGCGGAACUUAGGGUGGAGCGGUGAAAUGCGUUGAUAUCCUAAGGAACACCGGUGGCGUAAGCGGCGUACUGGGUCUUUUCUGACGCUGAGGCACGAAAGCUAGGGGAGCGAACGGGAUUAGAUACCCGGGUAGUCC